rnacentral:rRNA from 1 species
UACGUAGGGGGCGAGCGUUGUCCGGAUUUACUGGGCGUAAAGAGCGCGCAGGCGGUCGUUCAAGUCGCGUGUGAAAGCCCCCGGCUCAACUGGGGAGGGUCACGCGAUACUGAUCGACUCGAAGGCAGGAGAGGGUAGUGGAAUUCCCGGUGUAGUGGUGAAAUGCGUAGAUAUCAGGAGGAACACCAAUGGCGAAGGCAGCUCGCUGGGACGUGACUGACGCUGAGACGCGAAAGCGUGGGGAGCAAACAGG